rfam:Prevotella sp. CAG:279 genomic scaffold, scf45
UUGCCUUUACGAAAGUCAUGGAGUAAAGCUUGCUGUGAGAAGUCAGCAGAUGCCAUAGUAGUGGAGUUCUCGAUAACGCUCCAUGAAGGGC